rnacentral:rRNA from 1 species
ACGUAGGGUGCGAGCGUUAAUCGGAAUUACUGGGCGUAAAGCGUGCGCAGGCGGUUGUAUAAGUCAGAUGUGAAAUCCCCGGGCUCAACCUGGGAACUGCAUUUGAGACUGUACGGCUAGAGUUUGGCAGAGGGGGGUGGAAUUCCACGUGUAGCGGUGAAAUGCGUAGAGAUGUGGAGGAACACCGAUGGCGAAGGCGGCUCACUGGACCAAUACUGACGCUCAUGCACGAAAGCGUGGGGAGCAAACAG